CCUACGGGUGGCAGCAGUGAGGAAUAUUGGUCAAUGGCCGGAAGCCUGAACCAGCCAAGUCGCGUGAGGGACGACUGCCCUAUGGGUUGUAAACCUCUUUUAUAAGGGAAUAAUAUAUGCUACGUGUACCAUGUUGCCUGUACUUUAUGAAUAAGCAUCGGCUAACUCCGUGCCAGCAGCCGCGGUAAUACGGAGGAUGCGAGCGUUAUCCGGAUUUAUUGGGUUUAAAGGGGGCGUAGAGGGGUUGUUAAGUCAGUUGGGAAAGUUUGGGGCUCUAACGUUAAUUUGCAAUUAAUACUGGAAGACUUGAGUACAGACGAGGUAGGCGGAAUAAGUGAUGUAGCGGUGAAAUGCUUAGAUAUCACGUAGAACUCCGAUAGCGAAGGCAGCUUACUAGACUGCGACUGACGUUGAAGCACGAGAGCGUGGGUAGCGAACAGGAUUAGAUACCCUUGUAGUC
rnacentral:rRNA from 1 species